UGGUGCCCAACGUUGAGGCUUGAGAACGUGGAGGAUUGGUGAACGUCGCACACCAAGGCAGGCCUGCAUAUCAGUUGGACCACCGUGGAGAAAGCUUCACGAGCGAAGGUCUGGUUCAGUGAUCACCACGGGGACGCCGACUGUGAGACAGAUACUGGGAGUUGAUUUGUGCCGAUGCAAGUUAAGUUUACCAUGGGACAAGCAUUUAGUAAGCAGGAUUUAUUUAUUUCAGGACUUAAUUAGUCUCUCAAGACACGAGGAACAAGGGUUAAAAAGAAAGAUUUUAAAAAGUUUCUUGAUUAUAUUGGGGACCUUUGUCCCU
rfam:Neotoma lepida isolate 417 scaffold_9807, whole genome shotgun sequence.